GCGAGGUGACGAUAAAAUUCAAUGGUCUGUCAAUCCACUGACAAAUUUUGAUUGAUGUUAAACAUUGAAUCCCGACAGGUUCCGAUCGCUUUUUUCUUUUUUCUUUUUUAAUUAAAUUUUCGUGAAUUUUUUUUUAAUUUUAAUUAACAAAUGGCAUAUGAUGAAUCUAUAUAAACAAAUGGGUAAUUUGCGUCUGAAUGCAUUUCCUUGAUGCUACAUCACCUUGGAGAACUGAUGCCAAAA
rnacentral:lncRNA from 1 species